rnacentral:rRNA from 1 species
UACGGAGGGUGCGAGCGUUGUCCGGAUUUAUUGGGUUUAAAGGGUGCGUAGGCGGCCGUUUAAGUCUGGGGUGAAAGCCCGCUGCUCAACAGCGGAACUGCCCUGGAUACUGGAUGGCUUGAGUACAGACGAGGUUGGCGGAAUGGACUGAGUAGCGGUGAAAUGCAUAGAUACCGUCCAGAACCCCAAUUGCGUAGGCAGCUGCAUAGGCGACAUCUGACACUGAGGCACGAAAGCGUGGGGAGCGAACAGG